CUGCCAGUAUUCAUAUGCCUUGUCUA
rnacentral:rRNA from 1 species